rnacentral:rRNA from 1 species
GCAGGCCUAAACAUGCAAGUCGAACGGUAACAGGAAGCAGCUUGCUGCUUCGCUGACGAGUGGCGGACGGGUGAGUAAUGUCUGGGAAACUGCCUGAUGGAGGGGGAUAACUACUGGAAACGGUAGCUAAUACCGCAUAACGUCGCAAGACCAAAGAGGGGGACCUUCGGGCCUCUUGCCAUCGGAUGUGCCCAGAUGGGAUUAGCUAGUAGGUGGGGUAACGGCUCACCUAGGCGACGAUCCCUAGCUGGUCUGAGAGGAUGACCAGCCACACUGGAACUGAGACACGGUCCAGACUCCUACGGGAGGCAGCAGUGGGGAAUAUUGCACAAUGGGCGCAAGCCUGAUGCAGCCAUGCCGCGUGUAUGAAGAAGGCCUUCGGGUUGUAAAGUACUUUCAGCGGGGAGGAAGGCGAUAAGGUUAAUAACCUUGUCGAUUGACGUUACCCGCAGAAGAAGCACCGGCUAACUCCGUGCCAGCAGCCGCGGUAAUACGGAGGGUGCAAGCGUUAAUCGGAAUUACUGGGCGUAAAGCGCACGCAGGCGGUCUGUCAAGUCGGAUGUGAAAUCCCCGGGCUCAACCUGGGAACUGCAUUCGAAACUGGCAGGCUAGAGUCUUGUAGAGGGGGGUAGAAUUCCAGGUGUAGCGGUGAAAUGCGUAGAGAUCUGGAGGAAUACCGGUGGCGAAGGCGGCCCCCUGGACAAAGACUGACGCUCAGGU